rnacentral:rRNA from 1 species
AUUGAACGCUGGCGGCAGGCUUAACACAUGCAAGUCGAGCGGGGGAAGGUAGCUUGCUACUGGACCUAGCGGCGGACGGGUGAGUAAUGCUUAGGAAUCUGCCUAUUAGUGGGGGACAACAUCUCGAAAGGGAUGCUAAUACCGCAUACGUCCUACGGGAGAAAGCAGGGGAUCUUCGGACCCUGCGCUAAUAGAUGAGCUAAAGUCGGGUUAGCUAGUUGGUGGGGUAAAGGCCUACCAAGGCGACGAUCUGUAGCGGGUCUGAGAGGAUGAUCCGCCACACUGGGACUGAGACACGGCCCAGACUCCUACGGGAGGCAGCAGUGGGGAAUAUUGGACAAUGGGGGGAACCCUGAUCCAGCCAUGCCGCGUGUGUGAAGAAGGCCUUAUGGUUGUAAAGCACUUUAAGCGAGGAGGAGGCUACUCUAGUUAAUACCUAGGGAUAGUGGACGUUACUCGCAGAAUAAGCACCGGCUAACUCUGUGCCAGCCGCCGCCGUAA